CGCGAAAACUUUACAAUGCUGGCAACAGCGAUAAGGGAACCUCGAGUGCCAGGUUACAAAUCUGACUGUCGAGAUGCCUAAAAAGCAUUUCAUAGCAAGGGCCGGGCAAGACCGGUGCCGGCCGCCGCGGUAACACCGGCGGCUCGAGUGGUAACCGUUAUUAUUGGGUCUAAAGGGUCUGUAGCCGGCCGGAUAAGUCUCUUGGGAAAUCUGGCAGCUCAACUGUCAGGCUUUCAGGAGAUACUGUCUGGCUCGAGGCCGGGAGAGGUGAGAGGUACUUCASGGGUYGGGGUGAAAUCUUGUAAUCCUUGAAGGACCACCAGUGGCGAAGGCGUCUCACCAGAACGGACCUGACGGCAAGGGACGAAAGCUAGGGGCACGAACCGGAUUAGAUACCCGGGUAGUCCUAGCCGUAAACGAUACUCGCUAGGUGUCGGCCACGGUGCGACCGUGGUCGGUGCCGUAGGGAAGCCGUGAAGCGAGCCACCUGGGAAGUACGGCCGCAAAGCUGAAACUUAAAGGAAUUGGCGGGGGAGCACCACAACGGGUGGAGCUUGCGGUUUAAUUGGAUUCAACGCCGG
rnacentral:rRNA from 1 species